rnacentral:lncRNA from 1 species
CCGCCGCCACCCCCUCAACCCUCGCCCCCAAGAAUACAGGGAUUAAUGAGCAACAUUCUCUGCGAUAGAGAAACAAGGUUCUGUAGGAACACCAAAAUUCAAAAGGCAGUGACCUCAACAAGGAUCCUGGGGGCGAGGAGGAGGGAGGACGGGUUUCACCGAAGGCGGUCUCCACUUCCGCGGACUCCGGUUACUACGGGCUACCAGGCACGCGUCGAGUGA